CUCAUUUUCUCGACUGUAAAAUGAGGAGAACAGCAAUUCCAACCUACAGGAUUGUUGGCGACCUUAAAUGAGAAAGUCCAAGUGCACUGCUUUGACACACAGACCGCCUCACACCUGAGGGUAUACAGUGUUCAAAAAAGCAAGGGGAUGAAAGACCCAGAUGCAAAGCCUUGAAGAGAAAAUGAAGGCAAGUUCUUGUACUUCACACACAAAAAUCCCGUAAUGACCUGAAUGAUGGCUGAUUCUUAACUGGGCUCCAGAGACACUGGAUGGGCUUCCCAGGAUGCCAGAACCCUGAAAUUACAGAGUCCUUCCUAUAAUUCCGGGUUCCUUCAAGUAAGAGGUCGGGCAGCAGAUUCUUGAUGCCUCCGGGAUGUUGUCUCUUGGCCUGAACAAGAUUUGCAGAAAUGUACAAUUAUUCUAGGGACAGACAAUAUUGAGAAGGGAGAAUUCCUCUUGCUCAUUGAGAGGGAAAGGGACUCUCA
ensembl:lncRNA novel transcript, antisense to TSHZ2